rnacentral:rRNA from 1 species
CCUACGGGAGGCAGCAGUGAGGAAUAUUGGUCAAUGGCCGGAAGGCUGAACCAGCCAUGCCGCGUGAAGGUCAGUGCCCUAUGGGCGUUAAACUUCUUUUGUGCGGGAGCAAUAAUGGUCACGUGUGGCCAGACGAGAGUACCGUACGAAUAAGCAUCGGCUAACUCCGUGCCAGCAGCCGCGGUAAUACGGGGGAUGCACGCGUUAUCCGGAGUUAUUGGGUUUAAGGGGUGCGUAGGCUGUGAGGUAAGUCAGCGGGGAAAUGCCCCCGCUCAACGGGGUGAAGUGCCAUUGAUACUGCCUUGCUGGAAUGCGGAUGCCGUGGGAGGAAUGUGUGGUGUAGCGGUGAAAUGCAUAGAUAUCACACAGAACACCGAUUGCGAAGGCAUCUCACGAAUCCGCGAUUGACGCUGAUGCACGAAAGCGUGGAUAUCAAACAGGAUUAGAUACCCGUGUAGUC